AUGUUAAUGCUUGCAUUAAUUUAUUAGUGGCAGACGGGUGAGUAAUACAUGGGAAUUUACCUUGCAGUACGGAAUAACUGCUGGAAACGGCAGCUAAUACCGUAUAUUGCUGAAAAGUGAAAGAUUUAUCGCUGCAAGAUAAGCCCAUGCAAGAUUAGCUUGUUGGUGAGGUAAUGGCUCACCAAGGCAACGAUCUUUAGCUGGUUCGAGAGGAUGAACAGCCACACUGGAACUUAGACACGGUCCAGACUCCUACGGGAGGCAGCAGUGAGGAAUAUUGGACAAUGGGCGAAAGCCUGAUCCAGCGACGCCACGUGAAUGAUGAAGGCCUUAGGGUUGUAAAGUUCUUUUAGUGGAGAAGAUAAUGACGGUAUCCACAGAAAAAGUCCCGGCUAACUUCGUGCCAGCAGCCGCGGUAAUACGAAGGGGGCAAGCGUUAUUCGGAAUUAUUGGGCGUAAAGCGUGCGUAGGCUGCCUAGCGUGUUGUUAGUGAAAUCCUAUGGCUCAACCAUAGAACUGCUAACAAAACUGCUAGGCUUGAGUGUCAGAGAGGGCAGAAGAAUUCCUGGUGUAGGGGUGGAAUCCGUAGAUAUCAGGAGGAAGACCAAAAGCGUAAGCAUCUGUCUGGCUGAAUACUGACGCUGAGGUACGAAAGCGUGGGGAGCAAACAGGAUUAGAUACCCUGGUAGUCCACGCAGUAAACGAUGAGUGCUAGGUGCUAGAACUUAAGUUUUAGUGUCGAAGCUAACGCGUUAAGCACUCCGCCUGGGUAGUACGGUCGCAAGAUUAAAACUCAAAGGAAUUGACGGGGACCCGCACAAGCGGUGGAACAUGU
rnacentral:rRNA from 1 species